GUAAUCCUUGUGGUUAAUUUUAUUGUACAUUCUUGUAUUAUUUUUGCUAAAUACGUCGGCGUGCACUUCUCCUCUAGUAGAACGUCGUGACCCGUUAGAUGUUGAUUUAUGGCCUAAUUGGAAUUCUUUGAUUAUUGCUUGCAAUUAUUGGAAACCCUUUAUGACCCAUCACCUGUGUGACGGUAUUCUCAUGGGAAUAAGCCGCUUUUUUAUCGUGUAAUCCGUUGUAAGUGCGGGUAUUUAUCGCGAGGAUGGGUAUAUUGCGCCCGCUGAUAAAAACCCACUGUGGGGUAACGGUGUGUUUUAUCUGUGUUUAUUUACCGGUCACCAACACGCCUGCUUUGGGGACUUUUUCGACCCCCCUUGUGAAACGGACAAGAGAGACUCAAAUGUACGCACGACAUUGUGAUAUUUUUAUAACAAACAUCGAGAGGGAAUGAAAAAAAAGAUAAUCUCUUAAUA
rnacentral:rRNA from 1 species